UACGAAGGGGGCUAGCGUUGCUCGGAAUGACUGGGCGUAAAGCGCACGUAGGUGGCUUGAUAAGUUGGGUGUGAAAUCCCCGGGCUUAACCUGGGAAUUGCAUUCAAGACUGUCUUGCUAGAGUGUGGAAGAGGGAAGCGGAAUUCCAGGUGUAGCGGUGAAAUGCGUAGAUAUCUGGAGGAACAUCAGUGGCGAAGGCGGCUUCCUGGUCCAACACUGACACUGAGGUGGCGAAAGCGUGGGGAGCAAACAGG
rnacentral:rRNA from 1 species